AUUGAACGCUGGCGGCAGGCUUAACACAUGCAAGUCGAGCGGGGUGAUGGUGCUUGCACUAUCACUUAGCGGCGGACGAGUGAGUAAUGCUUAGGAAUCUGCCUAUUAGUGGGGGACAACAUCUCGAAAGGGAAGCUAAUACCGCAUACGUCCUACGGGAGAAAGCAGGGGAUCACUUGUGACCUUGCGCUAAUAGAUGAGCCUAAGUCGGAUUAGCUAGUUGGUGGGGUAAAGGCCUACCAAGGCGACGAUCUGUAGCGGGUCUGAGAGGAUGAUCCGCCACACUGGGACUGAGACACGGCCCAGACUCCUACGGGAGGCAGCAGUGGGGAAUAUUGGACAAUGGGGGGAACCCUGAUCCAGCCAUGCCGCGUGUGUGAAGAAGGCCUUAUGGUUGUAAAGCACUUUAAGCGAGGAGGAGGCUCUUUUGGUUAAUACCCAAGAUGAGUGGACGUUACUCGCAGAAUAAGCACCGGCUAACUCUGUGCCAGCCGCCGCAGUAA
rnacentral:rRNA from 1 species